rnacentral:tRNA from 1 species
AGCACUAUACUUUAAAUAAAAGGUUAGAUUUGCAUUCUGAAAAUGGGUAGUAUUGCCCUAGUGCUG